rnacentral:tRNA from 1 species
UGGGAAGUAGCUCAGUGGUAGAGCGGGGGCCUGUUAAGCCCUUCGCCGUAGGUUCGAUCCCUACCUUCCCAGCCA